CCUACGGGUGGCAGCAGUGAGGAAUAUUGGUCAAUGGUCGUAAGCCUGAACCAGCCAAGUCGCGUGAGGGAUGAAGGCUCUAUGGAUUGUAAACCUCUUUUAUAAGGGAAUAAAGUGCGGGACGUGUCCCGUUUUGUAUGUACCUUAUGAAUAAGGAUCGGCUAACUCCGUGCCAGCAGCCGCGGUAAUACGGAGGAUCCGAGCGUUAUCCGGAUUUAUUGGGUUUAAAGGGUGCGUAGGCGGCAUUUUAAGUCAGCGGUGAAAGUCUGUGGCUCAACCAUGGAAGUGCCGUUGAAACUGGGUGGCUUGAGUGCGCUAGAGGCAGGCGGAAUGCGUGGUGUAGCGGUGAAAUGCUUAGAUAUCACGCAGAACUCCGAUUGCGAAGGCAGCAUGCCAAGGCACGACUGACGCUGAUGCACGAAAGCGUGGGGAUCGAACAGGAUUAGAUACCCGUGUAGUC
rnacentral:rRNA from 1 species